GGCGCACGCGGCAGGCAUCUCUUUAAAGGAGGCGUUGCGUGUGCUGUUAGUGCUGUUAUGAACUGCGACUUUUCGCGUGCACAAAAGUGCCAGAAGAUAGCUUGUGUCUCGCUGCAAAUUCGCCGUGUGUGUGGCGCGCUAAGCAAAUGUGGACCAACGAUUUUCAUGCCGCGGAGUGCUUUCCCUUGGUUGUUUUGGAAAGUUCGGUGGACGUCGUACAGAAAUCAUGCGUAUUAGCGUUACGCAGGUCGUCCACUACAUAGUGUUUCCUGCGGGAAUAACUUUGCAGCACCGGCAACUUGGAGGGCGCUUUUCGAUGGCAUCGUACCAUUUAAAAGUGGCGAGGCCAUGACCAACAAUAGUGUCCACGUCAGGGAGGAGCUAUGGCUGCAGCAGCACGGUGUGUAAUCGGAUGGUCUGGUCAAGUAUGACUGAAGUGUACAGAUUGGUGUGGGAUUUGUGAUGCCACUCAGCAAGUGGCAUUACAUAUUCAAGUCUGCUUCCGACACAGAGUGCACAUUAGAUGUGGCACGGCACCUGUAGACACCAGUGCAAGCAGGUGAAAGUAGCCUGACUGGACAGGCCUGCCGGACAAGGUGCCAUGCGUCUGGGAAGCUUCUGGCAACACCGGAGAAAGUGGCUGCUUUGAAGAACUGCCUGGAGAAAUACAUAAGUGACCAUCCAAUGGGGCCACCAGCACCACCUCCGGAGAACCACCUUGCUUCUCUGCGGAAGCACCUUCGGAGCUUUCUUUACAGAAGCAGGUCGCCGGGGCAAACAAGUGCAAAAGUAAAUAUCGUAUAAGUCCAGUGAUGUUUUUUUUCAAUAAAGUGUGAUGAUAUGCAACAUA